CAAAAAAUAGUUUAAUUAAAAUACUA
rnacentral:tRNA from 1 species